rnacentral:rRNA from 1 species
CAAAAUGAGAGUUUGAUCCUGGCUCAGGACGAACGCUGGCGGCGUGCCUAAUACAUGCAAGUCGAGCGAGCUUGCCUAUUGAAAUUCUUCGGAAUGGACAUAGAUACAAGCUAGCGGCGGAUGGGUGAGUAACGCGUGGGUAACCUGCCCUUAAGUCUGGGAUACCAUUUGGAAACAGAUGCUAAUACCGGAUAAAAGCUACUUUCGCAUGAAAGAAGUUUAAAAGGCGGCGUAAGCUGUCGCUAAAGGAUGGACCUGCGAUGCAUUAGCUAGUUGGUAAGGUAACGGCUUACCAAGGCGAUGAUGCAUAGCCGAGUUGAGAGACUGAUCGGCCACAUUGGGACUGAGACACGGCCCAAACUCCUACGGGAGGCAGCAGUAGGGAAUCUUCCACAAUGGACGCAAGUCUGAUGGAGCAACGCCGCGUGAGUGAAGAAGGUUUUCGGAUCGUAAAGCUCUGUUGUUGGUGAAGAAGGAUAGAGGUAGUAACUGGCCUUUAUUUGACGGUAAUCAACCAGAAAGUCACGGCUAACUACGUGCCAGCAGCCGCGGUAAUACGUAGGUGGCAAGCGUUGUCCGGAUUUAUUGGGCGUAAAGCGAGCGCAGGCGGAUUGAUAAGUCUGAUGUGAAAGCCUUCGGCUCAACCGAAGAACUGCAUCAGAAACUGUCAAUCUUGAGUGCAGAAGAGGAGAGUGGAACUCCAUGUGUAGCGGUGGAAUGCGUAGAUAUAUGGAAGAACACCAGUGGCGAAGGCGGCUCUCUGGUCUGUAACUGACGCUGAGGCUCGAAAGCAUGGGUAGCGAACAGGAUUAGAUAC